rnacentral:rRNA from 1 species
UGAGGAAUAUUGCACAAUGGGCGCAAGCCUGAUGCAGCAACGCCGCGUGCGGGACGAAGGCCUUCGGGUCGUAAACCGCUUUUCUGGGGAAAGAGCAAGGACGGUACCUCAGGAAUAAGUCUCGGCUAACUACGUGCCAGCAGCCGCGGUAGAACGUAGGAGGCGAGCGUUAUCCGGAUUUACUGGGCGUAAAGCGCACGCAGGCGGCUCUGUGAGUCGGACGUGAAAGCUCCCGGCUUAACCGGGAGAGGCCGUUCGAUACUGCGGGGCUUGAGGUAGGGAGAGGAAGGCGGAAGUCCCGGUGUAGUGGUGGAAUGCGUAGAUAUCGGGAGGAACACCUGUGGCGAAAGCGGCAUUCUGGCCCUCACCUGACGCUGAGGUGCGAAAGCGUGGG